rnacentral:rRNA from 1 species
GGCGAGGGGUCCAAGCGUUGUUCGGAAUCAUUGGGCGUAAAGCGGGUGUAGGCGGCUCUAUAAGUCAGGAGUGAAAGCCCCGAGCUUAACUUGAGAAGUGCUUUUGAUACUGUAGAGCUUGAAUGUGGGAGAGGUUAGUGGAAUUCCAGGUGUAGUGGUGAAAUACGUAGAUAUCUGGAGGAACACCGGUGGCGAAAGCGGCUCACUGGACCGUCUCUGACGCUGAGGUGCGAAAGCUAGGGUAGCAAACGGG